GUCCGGGGACAGCUUGAAUGGUGGCUCUAUGGUCGGUCCGGCGGCGUGGGGCAGCGGGGGGGGGGGGGGGCGCCGAGCCCGGCAGAUUUUUCUUUCGCCUCCCAAGCUCAGUCGCUCCACCGCCGCCGCAAACUUUUAGUUCCGCGCGCUCCCGACUUUGGUUCCGAAACCGAGCUUUACCGUUGCCCCCCGCCUUCCUUCCACCCCCGCGCCCGGCGUUCGUCACCGCGAGUUUUCGGCUUCCACUGAUUUGCGCCCCGGGUUUUCUUUUCGCCGCUCGAUUUUCCCGCGUUUCCGUUUUUAACAGUGAUAGUGAUAGCUCCGGUUGGCUCUGUGUUUGGCGGGUUGCGUUUCGCUUGGAUUAUUCAGUGAUAACGAAUUAGUGCUCUGGGAACCUUUUUGGAUGAUACGAGCGAACCACGGCGAUACUCUGAUUUAACGUUUCAAGAAAAAGAUGCUGAGAGGGUAGGGGGAUGCCCGAGAUUAGUCGCUCGGACUCACAAAGAUCGGACUCCUCCAUUAAACCUCGAGUAUCUUUCAACAGAGAUGUCCACAUAAAGAAAAUAGGUCACCCGGAUGCUCCUAGCGUUGUAGGGGCGCUCGCGGGCGAUGGAGAGGGGCACCUGGUGCCGACGGCGGUGCGGCGGGAGGGCCCCAGCCGGCUGUCCAGGCGGGAGCUGGCCAAGGAGGCCGAGAAGGUCCUCAAACAGGCCGAAAGCGUCGUCUGCGUCCCCAUCUCCGAGUCGGGGGCCAUCAUCGAAGAGAAGCCCAGCAGACCCACUAGAAAUCAUAUCCCACAUAGGUCCAACUUGACGCGGAGGUCCAGUUUUGGAGGCUCCGACAACAAGCAUGAGCUUUCCAGCAAAAAGCAAGGAAAACCGAACCUGAUUUCGUCGGUCUUCAACUCGCUGGACCGAUCGAAAAGUAAGAAGAAGACCGAGGCACGUGAGAAUGAAGACUACCGGUACAAUCUGCGACGGAGCAGCCUCCACGACGACACGGGGACCAACAGCCUCCCGCGGAGCACUCAAAACCGCUCAAGAACCCGAAUCGGGCGCAGCGUGAGCGACGCCGGAAGCCGUAAGCCCCUCGACCGGAAACCGGAAGAGAAGAAAACCAUCUCGAUAUUCGCCACCCUGGACCGCCUACGCAACCCAAACAGAAAAGCGAAACCACAUUACGCGGGCUCCAAAUCUGACGUCGAGGUCAGGAACGUGGCCAAUCGAAACGGUGACGUCAUGGACUACUCGCGCACGAACCACGUGCAGAGGAACCCCUCGCCGGUGGUGGCGCCGCGGCGGAAGAAGAAGCAACUAUCGCCCAUCAUAGAGAUAACCCCCCGGGAGGACUACUUCGAGUCGUCGUCGGAGAAGCACCAGCCGUACAGUCUGGGGGGUGGAGAGUACGAGAGCUUGAGCCGAAGGCCGCGGGACGAGGUGGACCCGCCGGUGAGGAAGCAGCUCUACAGCCUCGGCGGAGGAGACUACGAGAGCACCGAGCGGAAGCCGAAAGCGGGGGGACCGCGCUACGCGGAAUUGACGGACGACGAUAGUGACAUUGGCGGAAAAAUUUUAGCGACGCCUUCGCCGACCCGAGCGCCGACGAUCGACAAAUUGAUUCAGAAGUUGAGCGAGGAGCGACGCAAUAGAGCGGCGAGCAAAGUGGCUGCGAGCUCGAGCCCACUUGUGGAGCCGGACGAGGGCCGCCAACAUAACGACAACAAACCGUUCUCGUACACGGAGCCGCCCACCAAGGCUGACGCGGACGGAGGACAUGUAAUCUACGCCCAAGUCGUCGCGAGCGGAGGCGUCAACGGCAAACCCGCGGCAAAACAAACCGUGCACGCGACAGUCAGUCCGAAUCGACUGCUCGACGACGAGCGGAGCCGCGCCAUGGGCCAGGACCGUGCGUCACCCACCUCGCGCAUCCCCGAACCGGAGAAGAUCCUCAACCUCAUCCGCGCCCAGAGCAAGCCCGUCCCCCUCGAGCCGGAGCACUACAAACCCAAGACCGAGACCUUCAUCAAGAUCGAGCGGGACGACCCCUUCGGCACCCGCGGACGCGGCGACGGCAUGGAGCUCAACGGCCGACGCAACUCCUCCUUCGACCGGGACGACCUCACCGUCUUCCGCGAGAAGUAUGGCUCCCUCCUGGACAAGCGCUCGCCAAGCCUCAACGAAACCGACAUCGGGUGGUACAGCACCCCCGCCCGGAAUCUGAGCCACCGACGGAAUCUCCUCGAGUCGAAGAUCGAGGACAAGCAGCGGCGCCUCACCCUUACGGCCGGCCAGCUCAACCUCAACAACCAGAAGAACAAUAAGCUCAGCGAGCUUCUGGACGACACCUCCGACCUGACAAAGAACCGGUAUUUCGAGACGAAGAUGGUUCACGAGUCCAGCGAGCAAAGGCGGCAUUCGCUCAAGAAGGAUGUCUCCGACUCGGGCGUGGAGCUGAGCGACUACCGGAAGGAGUCGCUGAACGGCUACGCUCGCAAGAUCGAGCCACCCCCGCGGGCGAAGCUGGAGAACAGGCGCUGUACCACCAGAGGGUGGUGUCGACGAGGACCCAUUCGGAGGUGCCCAAGGUGGAGCGGCCACCCCGGAGCAAGCUGUCGAGCAAGAGCUUCUCGGCGACGAAGACGGUACAGGAGAAGAAGCGCGAGGCUGUGCCGAGUGGCGCCACGCUGGUGCGGCGCUACAGCCAGAACGAGACGACGCGGUACCGGAUCGAGCCGAAGACGGCGCCCGGGGCCCUGGCGGCGCCGGAGAAGAAGCUCACCAAGAUGGAGAAAGUGA
rnacentral:lncRNA from 1 species